CAAAGGUGAGCCAGUACAGGAUGGACCCGCGUCUGAUUAGCUAGUUGGUAAGGUAACGGCUUACCAAGGCGACGAUCAGUAGCCGACCUGAGAGGGUGAUCGGCCACAUUGGAACUGAGACACGGUCCAAACUCCUACGGGAGGCAGCAGUGGGGAAUAUUGCACAAUGGGCGAAAGCCUGAUGCAGCAACGCCGCGUGAGUGAUGAAGGCCUUCGGGUCGUAAAACUCUGUCCUCAAGGAAGAUAAUGACGGUACUUGAGGAGGAAGCCCCGGCUAACUACGUGCCAGCAGCCGCGGUAAUACGUAGGGGGCUAGCGUUAUCCGGAUUUACUGGGCGUAAAGGGUGCGUAGGCGGUCUUUCAAGUCAGGAGUGAAAGGCUACGGCUCAACCGUAGUAAGCUCUUGAAACUGGGAGACUUGAGUGCAGGAGAGGAGAGUGGAAUUCCUAGUGUAGCGGUGAAAUGCGUAGAUAUUAGGAGGAACACCAGUUGCGAAGGCGGCUCUCUGGACUGUAACUGACGCUGAGGCACGAAAGCGUGGGGAGCAAACAGGAUUAGAUACCCUGGUAGUCCACGCUGUAAACGAUGAGUACUAGGUGUCGGGGGUUACCC
rnacentral:rRNA from 1 species